AUUGAACGCUGGCGGCAGGCCUAAAACAUGCAAGUCGAGCGAGCGGCGGACGGGUGAGUAAUGUAUGGGGAACUGCCCGAUAGAGGGGGAUAACUACUGGAAACGGUGGCUAAUACCGCAUACUAUCGGAUGAACCCAUAUGGGAUUAGCUAGUAGGUGGGGUAAAGGCUCACCUAGGCGACGAUCUCUAGCUGGUCUGAGAGGAUGACCAGCCACACUGGAACGGAGACACGGUCGAGAUGCCUACGGGAGGCAGCAGUGGGGAAUAUUGCGCAAUGGGCGCAAGCCUGAUGCAGCAAUGCCGCGUGUAUGAAGAAGGCCUUAGGGUUGUAAAGUACUUUCAGCGGGGAGGCGUUACCCGCAGAAGAAGCACCGGCUAACUCCGUGCCAGCAGCCGCGGUAAUAC
rnacentral:rRNA from 1 species